CCUACGGGAGGCUGCCGUGGGGAAUAUUGCGCAAUGGGCGAAAGCCUGACGCAGCGACGCCGCGUGAGGGAUGAAGGUCUUCGGAUCGUAAACCUCUGUCAGCAGGGAAGAACGGUCACUGUGCUAAUCAGCAGUGAAUUGACGGUACCUGCAAAGGAAGCACCGGCUAACUCCGUGCCAGCAGCCGCGGUAAUACGGAGGGUGCGAGCGUUAAUCGGAAUUACGGGGCGUAAAGCGCUCGUAGGCGGUAUGUCAAGUCAAGGGUGAAAUCCCCGCGCUCAACGUGGGAACUGCCUUUGAAACGGGCAAACUGGAGUGUGGGAGAGGACAGUGGAAUUCCAGGUGUAGGAGUGAAAUCCGUAGAUAUCUGGAGGAACAUCAGUGGCGAAGGCGACUAUCUGGAACAUAACUGACGCUGAGGAGCGAAAGCGUGGAUAGCAAACAGGAUUAGAUACCCCUGUAGUC
rnacentral:rRNA from 1 species